GACGAACGCUGGCGGCGUGCUUAACACAUGCAAGUCGAACGGAAAGGCCCUGCUUUUGUGGGGUGCUCGAGUGGCGAAAGGGUGAGUAACACGUGAGUAACCUGCCCUUGACUUUGGGAUAACUUCAGGAAACUGGGGCUAAUACCGGAUAGGAGCUCCUGCUGCAUGGUGGGGGUUGGAAAGUUUCGGCGGUUGGGGAUGGACUCGCGGCUUAUCAGCUUGUUGGUGGGGUAGUGGCUUACCAAGGCGUUGACGGGUGGCCGGCCUGAGAGGGUGACCGGCCACAGUGGGACUGGGAUACGGGCCAGACUCCUACGGGAGGCAGCAGUGGGGAAUAUUGCACAAUGGGCGGAAGCCUGAUGCAGCAACGCCGCGUGCGGGAUGACGGCCUUCGGGUUGUAAACCGCUUGCGCCUGUGACGAAGCGUGAGUGACGGUAAUGGGUAAAGAAGCACCGGCUAACUACGUG
rnacentral:rRNA from 1 species